rnacentral:rRNA from 1 species
AGCUUGCUCCCGGAUGUUAGCGGCGGACGGGUGAGUAACACGUGGGUAACCUGCCUGUAAGACUGGGAUAACUCCGGGAAACCGGAGCUAAUACCGGAUAGUUCCUUGAACCGCAUGGUUCAAGGAUGAAAGACGGUUUCGGCUGUCACUUACAGAUGGACCCGCGGCGCAUUAGCUAGUUGGUGGGGUAAUGGCUCACCAAGGCGACGAUGCGUAGCCGACCUGAGAGGGUGAUCGGCCACACUGGGACUGAGACACGGCCCAGACUCCUACGGGAGGCAGCAGUAGGGAAUCUUCCGCAAUGGACGAAAGUCUGACGGAGCAACGCCGCGUGAGUGAUGAAGGUUUUCGGAUCGUAAAGCUCUGUUGUUAGGGAAGAACAAGUGCGAGAGUAACUGCUCGCACCUUGACGGUACCUAACCAGAAAGCCACGGCUAACUACGUGCCAGCAGCCGCGGUAAUACGUAGGUGGCAAGCGUUGUCCGGAAUUAUUGGGCGUAAAGGGCUCGCAGGCGGUUUCUUAAGUCUGAUGUGAAAGCCCCCGGCUC